rnacentral:rRNA from 1 species
GAUGAACGCUAGCGGCAGGCUUAAUACAUGCAAGUCGAGGGGUAACAGGUCUGUAGCAAUACAGAUGCUGACGACCGGCAAACGGGCGCGGAACACGUACAGAACCUUCCUUCGAGUGGGAGAUAGCCCAGGGAAACUCGGAGUAAUAACCCAUAGGAUCAUAGAGUGGCAUCACUUAGUGAUUUAAGAUUUAUCGCUUGAAGAUGGCUGUGCGGCUGAUUAGGUAGUUGGUGUAGGUAACGGCUCACCAAGCCUUCGAUCAGUAACUGGUGCGAGAGCACGACCAGUCACACGGGCACUGAGACACGGGCCCGACUCCUACGGGAGGCAGCAGUAAGGAAUAUUGGGCAAUGGAGGCAACUUUGACCCAGCCAUGCCGCGUGGAGGAUGAAGGUCCUCUGGAUUGUAAACUUCUUUUAUUUGGGAAGAAAUGCCAAUUUUCUAAUUGGUUUGACGGUACCAGAUGAAUAAGCACCGGCUAACUCCGUGCCAGCAGCCGCAGUAAAAC